UGGUCCCGCGUGCAUGCUGCAUGCAGCUGCAUCUCGCGCGCACGUACCAAUCUCUAAACAAUUGUACGGUCGUCUAUCGUAAGCUUUCGUGUCUUAUCGUGCAACGCUUGACACGUACGUACUGAGAUUAAGCUCGCCACUGAAAGUUUCUUCCAGCUCGCACAUAGAAAUAUCUAUGACUCUCCUGCUAUCUCUCGUGGCCGCGCAAUUCUCUCCCCGUGGCCAUUAUGUGUGCGCCAAUGAAUGAUGCGUCCCACGGACAGAAAUUUGCAAAUACCAGCGUGCAUUAACAACGUCCACGCAAAUGUUAAUUGCGGGAAUCUUAUUAGAUUGUCUGCCGAAUUAAUGGAGAGUAUGAUAUAAAUGUUACGUGCAUAAUCGGUAUGCGGUGUACGCGAGUCAGCUAUGCGUAUUAGGAAUUUCAAUGUUAUGCUGUCGUAAUUGUCUUUCGGAUCAAACACCGCGAGCAACUCGGCUAUGCAUAUAUAUACGUGUUUUAUCUGCGGUGCCACAGUGUGACUCACUCAAGAGUAUGCAAUCAAUGUUGUUGAUUGUGAGACGGCCAAGAAGAUCUAAAUUUUAAUAACAGAUGCGCCGGGGAACAGGUUAGUCAUGAAGAGAAUAUCUUUUAUGAAGCAUCGAGGAAGCAUCGAAGAAAAUAUCUUCGAGAAAGGAAUCUUCUCUUUAUCAAAAGGAUUUCAUUCGCCUAUAAUACUUACAAUUAUAAGCGCGCUUUUUUUCCGUCCGUACUUCGAACUGACUGAACAUCGAACGAAUGAGAGCUGGUAACGAGUUGCGCGAGAAAUGCGUUCGCGCGCAGUACCAUCUUCGAAGGGGCCUGAGGAAGCCGCGGUAAGACCGCCGCGUUGCUGCAGGCGAGCUACAAAUUAUCAGCUGUCACCUGUACGACAUCCAUUUUGCUGCAGCGUGGUUCGCGUCACUACCGCACGGCGGACUGGCAUUUCAUCUAUCCACCGUCACUUUGCCGCCACGCAGUUACAGCUUCUUACAAGCGCUAUCGUAACCUGUCCUCCUUCGUCCUCCCUUCGUCCUUCCAAUUCCCAUUUCGCUCGUUUUUGUCAAGUGCGGGGAUUCUCAACUUUACGAACGACGCAAUUAUAUCGUCGGAAGAUCUCUUUUUGCGUCAAGUGUAUUAUCAACGGAUUAAUCUCGCGAGAGUACCGACAUAAUUUUCUACGACGACACUUUUGUAUGACGAGUCGGAAAAGAUUUGCUUCCGUCAAAUUAAUCGGUUGAGUUUAAAGGAAAAUAGCUAUAGUUAAAAUAUUCGUUCUUAUUUAAUAUGGAAUACAUUUUCAAAUUUUCUUUCUCUAAAAAAUCUGCAUAAUUUGGUGUAGAAUUGUAAAAAAACUGCUUUGAGACAGUACAUCGUUAAGCAAAUAUCUAAAUGCACUUUUUAAUUGCGUCGCGCAACGUUUUGAGAUGCAAGAUAAAUGCAGUUUCGGGCCACUCGUGCGCGUAUAUCUGAUGUGUACGUAGCGAGUAAACGUGCAUUUGCGCGCUCACGCGUCUGCAAGGAAGAAUUUGCGAGAUCGUGUGUGUAUAUUCGUAUAUAUGUACAUUGUGGGAUCCAGCGACCACAUAUAAGUGCAGAACGGCAUCCUCGAGGGAGGCGCACUCAAGGAUCGGAAUGCUUUGCCGCUCUCCCUCCCGUGACCUCCCUUCAGCAUCUCCGCUCCCGUAACAGCGUCUACUCAGAAAAUCCAAACAUUCUUUCGGGUUUAUCAACUUUGUGUUUAAUUCACGAAAUUCCGCCGCGGGGACGGUCGCAAAAUCUAACAGCUUCUAAAGGGCAAAAUUAGAAGUCGCAUAAAUAUCUCUUUAUUAAGACUGAAAUGCACCCAAAGAAACGUACAAAUUCAAAAAAUAAAUAUAUACAUAAUUUAUAUUUGGUUGAUAUUGUCAUUACUAUUAGAAAUAAAAGAUAGAAAAAAAUCGUAAAUGCAGUUUGAAUCAAAGUAUUUUAAUUUCCUUUUUCUCGCAAUAAAAUUGCACACAUGAAAAGAAUAUAAAAUGAUGAAUUACAUUUUUUCGUUUAUUUCAAUAAACAUAAUUGUCGCAUAUGACUCCGAUGUGCUUCAGAUGUAAAUUCGUCACGUUACAAUAUAAGUUAGCUUGCGCAUGAUAUUGAGUUUUUAAAAUACGAGUUAGGUAUAGAAGUUUGUUGAAAACAAAUUUCAUUAUCUUGUGUACUAGGACAGAAAGCGUCAAUUUGGUUCAGCAACGACACUCGAGCGGCAAUCCGGCCAGCAAUACCCGAGAGUAUGCCCGGCCGUUGCGCUAUUAUCGGUUUAAAGUCAAACGAAUUUCGCGAACUUGGCAAUCCGGGCUCUCCGAACGAGUCGAGUCGAGUCGACGCGCGCCUUUGUGUGGCCGCGUUCCGCUUUAUCUGCGCCGACCAAACGGCCGUCUAGCCCAACUUACCGAUUCCGACAUUCUAAUCUCACCAGGAUACCAGCGGCUAACGUACUUUCCCGACCCGAUAAAGACCGCAUCCUCCGUCGAGAUAAAGAGCCUCCGCCAUCCGUCAGUUCGCGUUUCCUCGACGUCCCGGUGACGUUCCGGAGCUGAAAAACGUUUCAUGCCUCAAAUGUAAAUCCCCGAGCAGAUUUCAACGCGAGUUAAAUUCUCGCUCGCGGCAGACUUCACUCAUGUCGGGGCCCUUCGGACGUGGGAUUCGCCCUUCAUCGAUCUUCGGCGGGCUUUAUGAGCUUACACAGAGUAGCGGAAGCCCUCUGUGUGUCGGGCUCGAAGUGCGGCGAAGUACACUUUUAAAAGCUCGCGGGGAACGCGGUCGGAUGAUUCGCUUACAGCACUUGGCACACUUUCAACGUUGUCUCGACAAACUUCACCGGAGUUACGGGCGUUUUCUUUCCCCGAGCAAAAUGCAUUUGAUUAUCAGUGUAUGCCACACACGAAAGUAAGAAAGGACCGGAAAAGUAGCGGAUUUUAUGGGGGUCAAUAUGAACAGAGAUGUGUCUCUCUCUUUCUCUCUCUCUCUCUCCCUCGAGCGUAAUUUCUUUGGUACGCGUUUCAUGCACGCGCAAUUACUCGAAUUUUAUGCUCCAUUCUUCGCAAGUAAAACGACUUGUAUUCUUACUUUGCUCGCAAUAGGAUAAUAUAUUUGAAAAUUCACGUUAGAGGACUUUUUAUGUUAAGGAUAUCUAUGUGCUGACACAAAACUGAUGCAAUAGUCUCCCUAGUACAAUAAUAAUAAAAUAAUUUUCAAUUAUUAAUCGUCUGCCAACGUCAUUUUUGUAACACGCGAACAUGGAAAUUCAUAAAGGAUAUAUCUUUCCAUUAUCCGCGCUUUUCUUUAGCCGUACCCUUCUCGAUGCUGAAACUGCGAGAAUGAGUCGAUAGUUUAGCAAGUAUCGAUCAAAUGUCUAAGUACGUGUACCCGAGCGAACGCGCACGCUUCUCGUUGUAAAGCGCGGAUAACGCGUUCUUAAUUUGAAUCACGUCGACCCUAUUGGCAAGAAGUUAACGAGCAGUUUUCGUAAUAAUACGUGAGUCAGCGUUCUUAAAGGCGGGAGGGUACGAGAGUCGGAGACGACAACGGCCUCUCGAAAGUAGAGAGUCGCGUGUUUGUGACACGGUCGGUGUACGUGUACUGGGACGGGAUUAAUUGAGUACUCGGGGAGGCGGAGGAAUGAACACGCGCACGGUUCAUCGAUUCCCGUCGGCUCUAUGAGCUUAUACGUGCGCGCGAGGGGCAACGGCGGGUUAGAUGAAUGGACGGAUGAAAUGGAUUUACACGAAACGGCGGAACAUUUUUCAGGAGCUCAUAAGAGCGAGCGGGAAUCUCAAAGGUAGUGGUAGGAGGGGUAGGAGGAAGCGAGAUAUCGACCACGGGAAGUGACAGCCUCUCGAAAAUGGAGACCCUCGGUGCGCUCUCCUAACGACAAAUGUGUGCUACCAGGAUCAAUUGAAUGCUUCGGAGAACGCGCUUCUCCGACCGUGAGGUAUAACCGGGGGAAUCGAUAUCGCUCUGAAAAUGCGUCCCUUCGACGGUUUCGACCGUGUAAUUUCGCAUUCGGGAGUAUCGUGUCCGGUUAUGCGAGUCGCGAUCAUGUUCGAUGCCAAAUUAGAGAACCGAUAAACAUAACCAAUUUAACAGUCGUGAGAUACAGCGUCCGAUCGCAGCGUUCGUCGACCAGCCUCACGCGCCGCAAUGUACGUAACAUCGCGCACUUACAUUUCUCAAACUUUACGAGGAGUGAAAGAGACAUCUCUUGGCGCGCUACCAAGAAAAAUAUUUCCGGAGAGUGUAUAUGGAGCUUUUACGACGGCGCACGGAAUAUGGAUGAAUACUUUUUCACUGAAAUAAAGGGCCGUUCCUCUUUUUGGCAGAGUUAAGCAUCGCGCGUUACGAUUUGCGAAACAAUCGAUCGCAGAAAAUUAUAAUUCCUCGUGUAUCCGCUCGGAUGAAAAUCGCGAUCGCGAAUAUAUUUUAUCCCAAGAACUCUUGUACAAACUCGAACGAUGUUCGAUGCCUCUUCUAUUUUUAGGCUUCUCGAUAGGGCCAAUCGUGUCUUUCCUUGAAACACGUGUAGUGAUUCCAGCCGAUGUGACGCAUUGCCGGGAAAAGGGCUAUCACGAGGUCUGGCUAUUACAGAACAAUCCUUCGCGUCGUAUCGAUUCGGCUUUGUGAGAGCCUUCUCCCGUGGGGCACACUUCUCUCCAUAUCACAGAUCAGCACGAAGCAAAAAAACAAACACAUUUUGAUCCUUUCGUAAACCGAGUGAUUAAUUAUGCAUUUCUAUUUUCUGCUGUAAUACUUUUAUCAUUUUUUUCCCCAUGGAACGAAUGUUAUUAUAGCUAAUUAUUUUUUUAUAUAAUGCAAAGAUGCAUGUAUAAAAUGUGAUAUAUGUCUCGCAAUAAAAUAGUUUUUGAAAUUUUUAAGUUUAAUUACGUAUUAUUUUAUAUAUUUAAUACACUCAUGUAUGAAACAUAUUUUGUUAAAUAUAUUUCCAAAUAUAGAAUACCGAAAAUACUUUCUGCAAUUCUUAUAUGUGUGACUAUGUGUAUAUACACACACGCUCAUAUGUUAGUUCUAUAAACCUGUUUAGAUCUUCCCAUCAGUGCCUUGCCUGGAGUCAAAUCCCUGGCACCAGGGGUCCAACAGGAUUAUCGUAAUGGUUCACCAAGGUCUACUGUGACCUUCGACGCCCAGUAGCUUUCCGCACCUGUGAUGAUUUGCUUUCAAAGUACACUCUACGAACCUUACCAAACAAAGACGAUAUUAUGCAAUAGAAUACAGAUGCCGUUUGUAAUGUAAAAUGAAUAGUCAGAUAAAACGUAGUUGUUUUAAAGCUUGGAAAAUUUCUAAGGCCGAGUGCUUUUUUUCCUAAUAAUAUUGGAUUCUCGAGAACAACGCAAUCUCCAUUGUCAUAGCAAAGCAGUUCUUGGCUAAAUAAAUAAUAGCUAUAGUUUAAAGUCUUUUUUGUACUAUAAAUAAUAUAUAAUAAAUGGUAAAUAAAUUUUUUACUUACCAUGUAUUAUAUAUUAUUUAUAGUGCAAAAAAAGAGUUGAAACUAUAGCUUCAAUCGCUUAUCAGCGAAUCCGCUGCUGGGCGAAAUCGAGUACCAAAGUCAUAAAUUCUACGACGCUAUACGCGAGGUAACUAUUUAUCUAGUUAUCCGCCGAGUAAGUCACGUAUAGUUCCGCCCUCACCAGCUUCAUUAUCUUCGCGGGACACGUUUCUGUCCUGAUGCAACGAGAUUGCCGGAUGUGCAGGACGGAGGAGCGAAACGCGGUGGAUGAGCGAACGGAGGUCGGCUUCUUCCUCGCGGAUCAGGGGGACGAAGGGGUCUGGACGGGUCCAAACUCAAGUUCUCCCCUUUUUCCCGUCUCCCAUCCUAUCCUUGCGGUCCGUUUGGUUUUCUUUCUUCUCCCUGCUUCCUUCCUCAGUUUCUUCCUCGUUGCCGUCCGGUGUCUCCGGUUAACAUCGCGAGUCACGUCGUGUCGGAAGGGUUUUGCGAGUCGGCGGAUGACUGCCGGCGGGUGAUACGUCGCUUUCUCGUGUGACGUCAGAGCCCUAUCGUGAAAGAAAAGGGGCUGGCAGCGAUGGUUAUGGCACGAAUAGGAGGGAAAGAGAGAUGCGAAGUAGAUUCGCCGCCGUGAGAAGACCGCUUAGAUGCUGCGCCAGAAGGGCUCAGUGUUACAAAUGACCGUGGUGCUAUGCAUACCCAAACAGACCGAAGACACGCCAAUGUGUGGAGAAAAAAAGAACAAAAGAUAUUUAUUUGAAACUCGUAGAUUAGAUUUACAUGGUAAAUUUCGUUGCAACAGCUUGGGCGAAUCAGAAGUAACCAGUGAUAAGUGUCAUUUAUUAAAUUAUGUACUAUGACACAAUUUAAUUGUAUGUAGAUAUGUUUCUAUUACACAUACUCGACAAUCAAUGUGUUUUUGUUGAUAAUUUUUUUCAUUUUUUUCCAUUCAUUUUUUCCAUUAAGUAAAUGUACAAUUUCAAAAUCAUUCAACAGUAUUCAUUCGGCAUCAGCUUUUUACGUUAUUUCCUUUUUUUUUAAUUUUAAAUACUGUUAAAUACAUAAGGCAUAACUUUAAAUGAGUUGUCAAAAUUACAACUAUUAAAUUUUUAUUAUUUAAUGAUUUAAGAAACUAUAUGUGUCUGCAGAAUAUAAAAGAAAGAAAACAUAUUUCCAUGAUUGGAUAUACUAAAUAUGUAAGAGUUUAAUAAUGGAUUUUCAUCGACGCGCUGCUUGCGGUGCAUCGUUUUUUCCUUAUCAACGCAUGCUAUAUCAGCGUCAAAGAAGAAAAGAAACGAGAUUGCGCACGCGGGUGAAGACCACCAGAUAAAGGCAAGAAGACGAGGUAGCCGAGUAUAGCUGAGAGUUUAAGAGCAACAUCAACGAAGGUAGGGGAAGGGAAGGAAGGAAGAGAGAGAGAGAGACAGAGAGAGAGAGAGGCAAGGGGAACGACGAUGACCCCCGCGUCGCGGGGAAAACGCGGACGGCGGAAAGAUGGGACACGAUCGCGUUUGCAUGCAAAUGCCAAGCACCGCGCGGUAAAUGUUUCUGCGCGAUAAAAGUCUUGUAGUGGCGCGGCAGCCAUCCCGUGAAUUUACGUGCUUUUUCGAGCGACUCCAUCCUACUUCCGUCCUCGUGCGUCCGCCACCGACACACGAAGCUCGCGCGACCGUCACAAAUGAGCAAAUAUAUGUGUACGUGUUUGUGUUUGCACGCGUGCUUGUAGGUCUGUGUACGUGGAAGGACCUACUACAAGGCACUCUAGUGCGCCCGAAUUAUUAAG